GAAGGCAUCCGAAAAAACUCAUCUCCUUCUCUCUCAUAAUCUGUGUAAUAUCUCUUUCGCAUUGUAAUCCAUGUUUUGAUGUUCUCAAUAAAAGCUCUAUUAUUAGCAAUCCUCAACAAAGGAACAUCCCCAAAAUGAGACAGUAUACAGGACCAAACGCAAAAAUGCAGAUCAACAUCUCCCAAACUCCAAAAAGGUCCUCAAACCGAGGCAUCAUCAAAUAGCUUAUCUUGCCCCACAAAACUGUAGCACAACUACGCAGUAUCUUGAUCCUCUGAUAAGUAUUGAUACUCAACUUCCGAAACAACUCAAAAUUGAACACAAAUAUUUUCCAGGUUGUCUUCAAACUCAUUAUCAAACCUAGAAAAAACCCCAAAAUCUCACUUCCUACAACACCUUUUCAAACUCAUCAUCAAUAUCACUUUCCACUCUCUCUUAUUCCCAUAAAAAUCAAGAAAAGUUCAAGAAUCCAUAUUUAAAAACUCACCCACAACUUACUGGACACGCAUCAAAGAGGAGACACCUUACCCACAAUUCACGCGGAGGUUCCUAGCCAAGAACGAGACCAAAGAGGAGGCACUUCGCUGAAAGAAUCUCUACUUCAUCAGCGUUGUCUCCGCCGUCGUCAAGAACCCCUUCUUCAAUCCAUAUAUGUUCGUCCUUCCUUUGUCAGAUCCAGAUCUGAUCGCAACAAGGGAUAUACUGUAACAAGGUCCUUCCUUCCCAUGUCUGUUCGUUCUUAUUCUUGUAAUUAUGCAACUGACUUUGAAUUAAUUGAUUACCAGGGCUGAAGUUCUGUGCUUGUGUGUUAGAGCAUCCAAAAAAAAACUACUUGUAACAUGGAUUCGCAAUAUGGUUAUGUGCAAUUGGCUCAAAGGAAUUUCAUUGAAAGUUGUACUUGACUUGAGGAAUCAACACUUAAAGAAUUAGGCUAGAUUAACCAUAUAAUGAUCCAUGAAAUUCCAUAUACUCUCUUUUAUCUAAAGCAUAUAACUUGUUUUGGUGAAGCUAAACCCAAGUGUUUGCUCUUAACAUAAUUUAUUCUUUGAUUAUGAAAACUAAGCUCUCUACCAAUCAAAUUUAUAAAUUUUCUUUA